rnacentral:rRNA from 1 species
AGAGUUUGAUCCUGGCUCAGGACGAACGCUGGCGGCGUGGAUAAGACAUGCAAGUCGAGCGACUAUUACGGGGUAGCAAUAUUCCGUGAUGGGAGCGGCGCAAGGGUGCGUAACACGUGGGUAAUCUGCCAUGAAGUUUGGAAUAACUUGCUGAAAGGCGAGCUAAUGCCGGAUGUGACCGUUGGGAGGCCUCUCUCGAGGGUCAAAGCUGGGGACCGUAAGGCCUGGCGCUUCAUGAUGAGCCCGCGGCCUAUCAGCUAGUUGGUGAGGUAACGGCCCACCAAGGCGAAGACGGGUAGCUGGUCUGAGAGGACGACCAGCCACACUGGAACUGAGACACGGUCCAGACACCUACGGGUGGCAGCAGUCGAGAAUUUUUCACAAUGGGCGCAAGCCUAAUGGAGCGACGCCGCGUGGGGGAUGAAUGGCUUCGGCCCGUAAACCCCUGUCAUUCGCGAUCAAUGCGCAUUAUUUAAAAGAUGAUGCGUUGAUAGUAGCGGAAGAGGAAGGGACGGCUAACUCUGUGCCAGCAGCCGCGGUAAUAC